rnacentral:rRNA from 1 species
UACGGGGGGAGCAAGCGUUGUUCGGAUUUACUGGGCGUAAAGGGCGCGUAGGCGGUCAGCACAAGUCGGUUGUGAAAUCUCCGGGCUUAACUCGGAAAGGUCAACUGAUACUGUGCGACUAGAGUGCAGAAGGGGCAACUGGAAUUCUCGGUGUAGCGGUGAAAUACGUAGAUAUCGAGAGGAACACCUGCGGCGAAGGCGGGUUGCUGGGCUGACACUGACGCUGAUGCGCGAAAGCCAGGGGAGCGAACGGG